GAUGAAGAACGUAGUGAAAUGCAAUAAGUAAUGUGAAUUGCAGAAUUCAGUGAAUCAUCGAAUCUUUGAACGCAACUUGCGCCCUCUGGUAUUCCGGAGGGCAUGCCUGUUUGAGUGUCAUGUAGACUCAAUCCCUCGGGUUUCUGAGGAGGUUGGAUUUGGGUGCUUGCCUUCUGGCUCGCCUUAAAGGACUUAGCAGGAUAGCACUGUAGUCGACGUAAUAAGUCUCGUCGGUGAAAGUGUGAUGUCUGCUUACAGAUUGCCCUUGGGCACUUUUGACUCUGACCUCAAAUCAGGUAGGACUACCCGCUGAACUUAAGCAUAUCAAUAAGCGGAGGA
rnacentral:misc_RNA from 1 species